rnacentral:lncRNA from 1 species
AAGGAUUAGCCAUCCUUGUCAAAAGGCUUUGCUCGAUUCUGGUCUGUCUAUGGAUAAGAUUAAUUCUGUAGAGCUCAUCGGUUCUGGAUCUAGGAUACCAGCUGUUAAGAAGAUCUUAGCUUCUCUAUUUGGUACAGAACCUAGACGGACCCUUAAUGCAAGUGAGUGUGUGGCUCGUGGCUGUGCUAUUCAGUGUGCAAUGCUUAGUCCGAUAUACCGUGUUAAAGACUACGAGGUUCGUUAUAUUUCUUACAUCUUUAAACUUUAAAGUAUAGUACAUAUUUGCAAGCUAUUUAUUGGGUUUUUUUUUGCAGAAGUUGUAAGGGGUGAAAAAUUGAUUUACCUACCUAUAUACUUGCCUGAUGAUUUUCUAGGCUAGUAAAUGGUUGGUUUGUUGACUCAUACAAGAAAAAACCAAUAUUGCAAUCUGACCUCUAAAGUAUAUACCUAAUUACCUUAACAGGUCUUCAGUGUUCCCUUUUUUAUACAUUGCUAGUGAAUGAUCUACUCGGUUAUAGAAAAAGCUUUGGUUGAUUGUCUAUCAGACCGAUUUAGCCGUGCUUGGUCCGGGCCGAUUGUUGCAUAUUGGCUCUAUAUGUUGCUGAUCUCAUAUUCGAUACAUGGAAGUGUUAGUUUAAAGUCUUUAUUAUAUAGCUGCGCUGUUGACAUACAUUUGCUAAUUUAUUAUGGAAUCAAAUACUGAUUGGUGCUUGUCGUCACAAAGUUGUAAGUCGCAGGUCUUUGUAUGUAGUUCCUAAGUUCCUUAUUGCUGCAGUGGAAACCCAUCCCUACACUUAGGUUGUGUUCACUUGGAGUGAAUGGAAUAGAGGGAGAAUGGAAUGAAUUUUGUACUCUAAAAUGGUGUUGAUCAAAGAAAUUGUAUAUAAUUUUCAUUCCUUCAAUCAUUCCAAUCUUACUAUUUUAUCUAUAACUUUAACCCACAUGUUUUGGAAGGAAUGCUCAUUCCAUUUCUGCAUCAUGUUUCUUCACAACCUUUCUCACAAAAAAAUUAACUACAUUCAUAUUUUGUCACUAUUAUUUCAUACUUUCUUCUUUCUCCUUAAAACUUCUAUAUAAUUUUUCAUUCCAUUCUCCCCUCAUUCCUUUCCAUGAAGUGAACACAGCCUUAGAGAUAUAUGGAUCUAGAUUUGAUGACAGGGUCAAACUUUUCUGAGCAAUAUUGUAUGAACUUUAUAUAUGAAUGUCAUUUUUGUGUAGUUAUUUAAAGCUUACAAAAUUUAAUUUUUCACGUGAUCACAUCAUAUACAGGUCAAAGACUCAUUUCCUUUCUCCAUAGGACUUUCAUUAGAUGAAGGUCUAAUCAAUAAUUCAAAUGGGAUUCUUUUCCCGAAAGGCUGUCUCUUUCCAAGUGAAAAGAUCCUUCAACUGCAUAGAAGGAGUACAUUCCAUAUGGAAGCAUUUUAUGCUGAUCAAAAUGAAUUGCCUUCUGGUAUAUCACCCCAAAUGAGCAAAUUUAUUGUAAGUGUGCCAUUACCCCCUUUUUGUCGUUUUUUAAUAUUUUUUUCUCAAAUCUGUAUUAAGGUUUUGAUAAAAUUAUGGUUUUAAUGCAUUGAAAUUUUUUUACAUAAAAAGUGGGUUUCAACAAAUAAAGUGUAGUCACUUUGCAUGGUGAGUUAGGCUAAUGUUAGUAUGCACUUCUCCCCGGUAUUUAGAGGUUCACUUNUUUGAGAAGCUCUCUGCAGACUUGUUCGAAAGGAUUAGCCAUCCUUGUCAAAAGGCUUUGCUCGAUUCUGGUCUGUCUAUGGAUAAGAUUAAUUCUGUAGAGCUCAUCGGUUCUGGAUCUAGGAUACCAGCUGUUAAGAAGAUCUUAGCUUCUCUAUUUGGUACAGAACCUAGGCGGACCCUUAAUGCAAGUGAGUGUGUGGCUCGUGGCUGUGCUAUUCAGUGUGCAAUGCUUAGUCCGAUAUACCGUGUUAAAGACUACGAGGUUCGUUAUAUUUCUUACAUCU